CCUACGGGAUGCAGCAGUGAGGAAUAUUGGUCAAUGGCCGCAGGGCUGAACCAGCCAAGUCGCGUGAGGGAUGACGGUCCUAUGGAUUGUAAACCUCUUUUGUCAGGGAGCAAAGGGCGCCACGUGUGGCGCUUUGCGAGUACCUGAAGAAAAAGCAUCGGCUAACUCCGUGCCAGCAGCCGCGGUAAUACGGAGGAUGCGAGCGUUAUCCGGAUUUAUUGGGUUUAAAGGGUGCGCAGGCGGAAUGUCAAGUCAGCGGUAAAAUUUCGGGGCUCAACCCCGUCGUGCCGUUGAAACUGGCGUUCUUGAGUGAGCGAGAAGUAUGCGGAAUGCGUGGUGUAGCGGUGAAAUGCAUAGAUAUCACGCAGAACUCCGAUUGCGAAGGCAGCAUACCGGCGCUCAACUGACGCUCAUGCACGAAAGCGUGGGUAUCGAACAGGAUUAGAUACCCCAGUAGUC
rnacentral:rRNA from 1 species